rnacentral:rRNA from 1 species
GACGAACGCUGGCGGCGUGCUUAACACAUGCAAGUCGAACGCUGAAGCUCAGCUUUUGUUGGGUGGAUGAGUGGCGAGCGGGUGAGUAACACGUGAGUAACCUGCCCCCUUCUUUGGGAUAACGCCCGGAAACGGGUGCUAAUACUGGAUAUUCACUGGUCUUCGCAUGGGGGUUGGUGGAAAGGGUUUUUCUGGUGGGGGAUGGGCUCGCGGCCUAUCAGCUUGUUGGUGGGGUGAUGGCCUACCAAGGCUUUGACGGGUAGCCGGCCUGAGAGGGUGACCGGUCACAGUGGGACUGAGAUACGGCCCAGACUCCUACGGGAGGCAGCAGUGGGGAAUAUUGCACAAGGGGCGCAAGCCUGAUGCAGCGACGCCGCGUGAGGGAUGGAGGCCUUCGGGUUGUGAACCUCUUUCGCUCAUGGUCAAGCCGCAACAAUGGUUGUGGGGAGGGUAGUGGGUAAAGAAGCGCCGGCUAACUACGU